AGAGCGAACGCUGGCGGCAGGCUUAACACAUGCAAGUCGAGCGGGCGUAGCAAUACGUCAGCGGCAGACGGGUGAGUAACACGUGGGAACGUACCUUUUGGUUCGGAACAACACAGGGAAACUUGUGCUAAUACCGAAUAAGCCCUUACGGGGAAAGAUUUAUCGCCGAAAGAUCGGCCCGCGUCUGAUUAGCUAGUUGGUGAGGUAAUGGCUCACCAAGGCGACGAUCAGUAGCUGGUCUGAGAGGAUGAUCAGCCACAUUGGGACUGAGACACGGCCCAAACUCCUACGGGAGGCAGCAGUGGGAAUAUUGGACAAUGGGGGCAACCCUGAUCCAGCCAUGCCGCGUGAGUGAUGAAGGCCCUAGGGUUGUAAAGCUCUUUGUGCGGGAAGAUAAUGACGGUACCGCAAGAAUAAGCCCCGGCUAACUUCGCGCCAGCAGCCGC
rnacentral:rRNA from 1 species